AUCCAGGACGAGUCCUAAAUAGGACGAAACGCCAGUCCUGGAU
rnacentral:hammerhead_ribozyme from 1 species